rnacentral:rRNA from 1 species
AUUGAACGCUGGCGGCAUGCUCUACACAUGCAAGUCGAACGGCAGCGCGGGGGCAACCCUGGCGGCGAGUGGCGAACGGGUGAGUAAUACAUCGGAACGUAUCCUGUAAUGGGGGAUAACCAGUCGAAAGAUUGGGUAAUACCGCAUACGCUCGAGAGAGGAAAGUGGGGGAUCGCAAGACCUCACGUUAUAGGAGCGGCCGAUGUCUGAUUAGCUAGUUGGUGGGGUAAAGGCCUACCAAGGCGACGAUCAGUAGCUGGUCUGAGAGGACGACCAGCCACACUGGGACUGAGACACUGCCCAGACACCUACGGGUGGCUGCAGUCGAGAAUCUUCGGCAAUGAGCGCAAGCUUGACCGAGCGAUGCCGCGUGCGGGAUGAAGGCCUUCGGGUUGUAAACCGCUGUCGUAGGGGAAUAACUUCCCUGGGGUUCUCCCCAGGGAUUGAAUGAUCCUAGGAGGAAGGACGGGCUAAGUUCGUGCCAGCAGCCGCAGUAACAC